ACUUUCUGAAAGUUACAUUUUUUAUGCUAGACAAAUCCGUAUUUUAAAUUUACUUUUAAUAGAAUAGAUUUAUAAAAAAGGGAAAAGAAACAAAGACAAAACGAUUGGUUAGUAGCUACAUAUGCAUAUCUACUCAAGAGAGGAAACUACAUAUCACAAACUACCCUUUCUAAGGUUCAAGUGUUCUAGGCCCAAUUCUUUAUCAAUGAAGUCAAAAGAAAUGAAAGACACAAUAAAAGCAAAUAAGUGCAGCAAACUACAUAACAUAAUUAUCGGCAAACAAAAUAAAGGAAUAAAGAUAGAAAACAAGAUAUAGAAAUAUUUCAUCCACUCUCGCUUCAUUUUCUUCGGAUAGGAAAGAGUAAAAGAGAUGAUUAAUGGACGUCACUUUCUCUUUCCCCAUUCAGAUAUGUAGGAGGAGGGCAAGAGACAUGCUUGAAGGGAGAAAUGCAAGUAUACUCGUUCUACAACAACGUGGAGUCUCGUUUGAGACUCCUUGCGAGCUCCGGCAAACCAUGUGAAAUAAGAAAGAAGAAGCAAACAUUAGAAAAAGAGCAUUUAAUUUAGAUGAACAUAAAAGGAAAAACAAAUCAACACCAAUACAUAUAGGAUCAUGCUCAACACAAAGUUUUUUUUUUUUNNNNN
rnacentral:lncRNA from 1 species